rnacentral:miRNA from 1 species
UGCUUGUACUUAUUCUGGUGAC